UACAGAGGGGGCAAGCGUUGUUCGGAAUUACUGGGCGUAAAGGGCGCGUAGGCGGCCUUCUAAGUCGAACGUGAAAUCCCCGGGCUCAAACCGGGAACUGCGUCCGAUACUGGAAGGCUUGAAUCCGGGAGAGGGAUGUGGAAUUCCAGGUGUAGCGGUGAAAUGCGUAGAUAUCUGGAGGAAUACCGGUGGCGAAGGCGGCAUCCUGGACCGGCAUUGACGCUGAGGAGCGAAAGCCAGGGGAGCAAACGGG
rnacentral:rRNA from 1 species